rnacentral:lncRNA from 10 species
GAGGAAACUUUGACUCAGACACAACACAGAGGAACACCAUGUGAAGACAUGGAGAGAAGACAGCCAUCACCAUGCCAAGGUGAGAGGCAUCAAAGGAGCCAACCCUGCCAACAUCUUGAUCUUAGACCUCCAGCCUUUGGAACUGACUGAUGAGACAGCAGUUUUUUCUUGACUUUCAGAGAAACUGAACAGUGUGAAUCCACUCCCAAAAUAAGAAGAACCUUUAUUUGGUGAGCAGGCCACCGAAUUUUGUUGGCAUUUAUCAACCACGUCCCUGCUAGUGAAGGUGUCACAGCAUCACAAUCUGGGCUAUUGAGACUGAAACAUCUGCCACGUCAACCAACAGGACAGCACCUGUGUAGUGAGAGCUGAGGACAUCAGAAAGCAAGGGCACUCAUGUUAAAUCCUGACCCAACCCAGUGGCAAAUGGCAGAGAAGUCCCUCUAUCACUGGGCUACAUUCUGCUAUGGGUUGUGUCACUGGGGAGGAACAUGGAGCUUUGGGACUUCAGUGCCGGCCCAUUACUCCAGAAGAUGACAUUCUUUCUAGUUUACAAGACUUCAAGCAAACCUGCCCUUAUCUUGAUUGAGUACUUAUAAGAAUGUUUGCUUCAUGAAGGCAGGAAUUUUAUGCCUUUUUCACUUCCAUAUUUCUAGCCCCUAAAUAGUAAAAUAGUAGGCUCAAGAUAGAUACUUGUUGAAUGCGGUUUAAUUAUGAAAAUGCCUGAUUUUCCUACUGAGAUGAGUGACAACCACUUUCAGGUCAAAUGGAUUCUGAGACUAUUUCCUACUAGGGAUUUAAAUAUCAAUUUG